rnacentral:rRNA from 1 species
AGUGAACGCUGGCGGUAGGCCUAACACAUGCAAGUCGAACGGCAGCACAGUAAGAGCUUGCUCUUACGGGUGGCGAGUGGCGGACGGGUGAGGAAUACAUCGGAAUCUACUUUUUCGUGGGGGCUAACGUAGGGAAACUUACGCUAAUACCGCAUACGACCUACGGGUGAAAGCAGGGGAUCUUCGGACCUUGCGCGAUUGAAUGAGCCGAUGUCGGAUUAGCUAGUUGGCGGGGUAAAGGCCCACCAAGGCGACGAUCCGUAGCUGGUCUGAGAGGAUGAUCAGCCACACUGGAACUGAGACACGGUACAGACUCCUACGGGAGGCAGCAGUGGGGAAUAUUAGACAAUGGGCGAAAGCCUGAUCCAGCCAUACCGCGUGAGUGAAGAAGGAGUUAGGGUUGUAAAGCCAUGUUGUUGGGAAAGAAAAGCAGCAGGUUAAUACCCCGCUGUUAUGACGGUACCCAAAGAAUAAGCACCGGCUAACUUCGUG